UACGAAGGGGGCUAGCGUUGCUCGGAAUUACUGGGCGUAAAGGGCGCGUAGGCGGAUAGUUUAGUCAGAGGUAAAAGCCCAGGGCUCAACCUUGGAACUGCCUUUGAUACUGGCUAUCUUGAGUUCGGGAGAGGUGAGUGGAAUGCCGAGUGUAGAGGUGAAAUUCGUAGAUAUUCGGAAGAACACCAGUGGCGGAGGCGGCUCACUGGACAUGUAUUGACGCUGAGGUGCGAAAGCGUGGGGAGCAAACAGG
rnacentral:rRNA from 1 species